rnacentral:rRNA from 1 species
CCCUUUGAUACUCUGGGCGGCACGCGCGCUACACUGGUUUAUAUAACGUGUAAUUUGGACGAUAGUCUGUAUAAAUCACUAAUAUAAAACCGUGAAUGGGAUAGUUUAUUGCAACUUACAAACUUUAACUAGGAAUCCCUUGUAGAAGUAGUGAAUUAUACUGCUUCGAAUACGUCCCUGCCGAUUGUACACGCCGCCCGUCGUUUCUUCCGACUGGUACUCAUUGUGAAUUGCGAGGAGAUUCUGUCAAAUCGUUGUAAAUGCUGGGUAUUGGAGGAAGAAAAAGUCGUAACA